rnacentral:misc_RNA from 1 species
AAGUCGUAACAAGGUUUCCGUAGGUGAACCUGCGGAAGGAUCAUUAACACAAAAGAAGUCGUGGUUCGCAAGGAUCACGUACCUCUUCACCAAACCGAGAAUAUGUUUCACAACCCCCCCUCUCUCUUGCUCGUACAGAUGACUCUCAGAUGGGAUAGACACUUUUUGACCUUCAUUGGUUAUCGUGGAUCUUUGAGUUGCUCUACAUGUCUGUACUUGUGAGAUUUGUCAAGACUAUCUUGAUUGCAGCAAUAGCCGUCAAAAAGCUUUUGUUGUGGUCGAACCCCCCCUUUUAUAUUAACCCCUUUAUAACCCCUUCUAGUUUAAUCUGUCUUAUUCUGUUCAUAGUCGAAAGGCGUGAACGUCAAAUAUUCAACGCGUACAACUCUUAGCAAUGGAUAUCUUGGCUCUG